rnacentral:rRNA from 1 species
AUUGAACGCUGGCGGCAGGCCUAACACAUGCAAGUCGAACGAGUGGCGGACGGGUGAGUAAUGUCUGGGAAACUGCCUGCUGGAGGGGGAUAACUACUGGAAACGGUAGCUAAUACCGCAUACCAUCAGAUGUGCCCAGAUGGGAUUAGCUUGUUGGUGGGGUAACGGCUAACCAAGGCGACGAUCCCUAGCUGGUCUGAGAGGAUGACCAGCCAAACGGGAACGGAGACACGGUCAAUACUCCUACGGAGGGCAGCAGUGGGGAAUAUUGCACAAUGGGGGCAAGCAGGAUGCAGCCAUGCCGCGUGUAUGAAGAAGGCCGUCGGGUUGUAAAGUACUUUCAGCGGGGAGGCGUUACCCGCAGAAGAAGCACCGGCUAACUCCGUGCCAGCAGCCGCGGUAAUUC